UAUUUUUAAUUAAUUUAUUUUUUGAGAUGGAGUUUUGCUGUGUCACCAGGCUGGAGUGCAGUGGUAGGAUCUCGGCUCACUGCAACUUCCGCAUCCCUGGUUCAAAGGAUUCUCCUGCUUCGGCCUCCCGAGUAGCUGGGAGUACAGGCACAUGCCACCACGCCCAGCUAAGUUUUGUAUUUUUAGUAGACGUGGGGUUUCACCAUGUUGGUCAAGCUGGUCUUGAACUCCUGACUUCAGGUGAUCCAGCCGCCUCGGCCUCCCAAAAUGUUGGGAUUAUAGGUGUGAGCCACCGUGCCCGGCCUGGAGAUGUUUUGAUCUCUUAAGUUGACCUAACUAAAGGGAGUGGUGGGGCUGGUGGGAGUUGAAUCAGUACAACUCUACAAGGAGAUGGUCUUGACCCUGAAUCACACUCUGCCUCUUUCCUCUUGGGUCCUCUGAGCACAAUGCCCAACAGCAGACUCCCCGCUCUGGCCCCCAGGAGAGGAAAAUGGGUGAGGGUCCCAGUUUCACUGUGUCUGCGCCUCUCAGAGGCAGAGGUGACACUGGUGGCAGAGGUUGUUGUCCCCUUUGUUCUUCUCUCUUUAGAUUUCAGCUUAAAUUUUAUGACAGUUAAAUGUGCACGUGAUGGAAGGAGCCAGUGCCUUUGACACUGGAUGAAGGGUAGCCGUGGCUGGCAUCCCCGUUUCUGCUCCCCUCGUGGCCACUGUGGAUUGGGUCAGGUGCCCAUGGAUUCUGCUGCUGCGCCUUUAAAUCAUGGCUCACGUGCUGCCCCGGCCUUCCUGCUCCAGCCGGCCUGUUGACCGUCCACUAUGGAAGGUGACCGGGGGUGAUUGAGCUCUCUCGAGGGCCUCGUUAUACAGGCGUGGUUUUCAUCCUAACCCCAACAUGAUUCUGUGCCGAUUUUGUAAGAUCAGGGGUCAGUUUUCACACUAUUUUGAGUGGGUGAGCAGUGCUGCGAAGCAACUGCCUCCACAGCUCCCGUCACCAUGUGCCUGCCUGCCCUACCCCUCCUUCUGUGGUGUGGUGCCUUCCACCCACACCUCACAGUGGCCCAGCUUCGUUUGUGAUUAGCUGAGGGUUGGGAUAGACAUAAUAAAGUGAAAAUUGAUGAUUGAUCUUACCAAAAUUUCUCAUCGAAAUUGGAAGCAUUAAUACUAUUUGUUAGUGGGUCUAGUGAUCGUUUGGUUUUAGCUCCAUUGAGUGCUUAAGUUUAUUGCUUAUAAGUGUACACGGUUUCCACCAGUUUUUCCCACAGUUAUCUGUAUUUUAAUAUUAAUAAUGAGGCUAUCUUCUAGCAUUUUUCAUUUAGUUCCUUAGAAAAAUAUAAUUCUAAUGGUAUAGCUACCAACAUUUUGUUAAGGAGAUAACCUAUUCAGAUUUGGUCAAAUUUCCUAUAUGUUCUACGUUAGGGACAUGCAUUUUCUUCACAAGGGGUGGAAAUAAGGGUUGGUGUCCCCAGAGUGACAGGAGUCAGCUCUUUGCUCUGCUGACUGGUGCUGACUGAUGGUAGCUCACCCCAUCCCAAUUCCUGUCGUUUGCUUUGGGAACAUCCCAGGUGGGCAGUGUGGGCUCCAGACUAGGUCAGGCCUGUGGAGCCGGGCUCUGUGUUCAAUGCUGGCAUUUAUGUGCGUGCUUGUGGUCUUGCUGACCACAUGUCAAGCUAUUCUGUCUACAUUCAAGACAGGAGCAAGGGGGAAGGUGAAGUGCCAGGGUCUCCUGCUCCUUUUUCAAGAAAAUGAUAGGCCGGGCGCGGUGGCUCACGCCUGUAAUCCUAGCACUUUGGGAGGCCGAGACGGGCGGAUCACGAGGUCAGGAGAUUGAGACCAUCUUGGCUAACACGGUGAAACCCCGUUUCUACUAAAAAUAGAAAAAAUUAGCCGGGCGUGUUGGCGGGCGCCUGUGGUCCCAGCUACUUGGGAGGCUGAGGCAGGAGAAUGGCAUGAACCUGGGAGGCGGAGCUUGCAGUGAGCUGAGAUCGCGCCACUGCACUCCAACCUGGGAGACACAGCGAGACUCCGUCUC
rnacentral:lncRNA from 10 species